rnacentral:snoRNA from 1 species
CUGCAUUCUAAACCCUCCUGGCAGCCCUGCCAUUGGCUUCCAGGAUAAGAAUGAAUGCCAGAGAAAACUGUUGAUUAAUCCAAGAUGUAGAGCUCUUCUGCCAUAGCUCUUCAUUAUUUCACAUCUUCAACAUUU